UGGCUCAGAACGAACGCUGGCGGCAUGCCUAACACAUGCAAGUCGAACGAUCCCUUCGGGGAUAGUGGCGCACGGGUGCGUAACGCGUGGGAACCUGCCCUUAGGUUCGGAAUAACUCAGAGAAAUUUGAGCUAAUACCGGAUAAUGUCUUCGGACCAAAGAUUUAUCGCCUUUGGAUGGGCCCGCGUUGGAUUAGCUAGUUGGUGGGGUAAAGGCCUACCAAGGCGACGAUCCAUAGCUGGUCUGAGAGGAUGAUCAGCCACACUGGGACUGAGACACGGCCCAGACUCCUACGGGAGGCAGCAGUGGGGAAUAUUGGACAAUGGGCGAAAGCCUGAUCCAGCAAUGCCGCGUGAGUGAGGAAGGCCUUAGGGGUUGUAAAGCUCUUUUACCCGGGGAUGGAUAAUGACAGUACCGGGGAGAAUAAGCCCCGGGCUAACUCCGUGCCAGCCGCCGCCGUAAAC
rnacentral:rRNA from 1 species